CCUCAAUGUCCACACAAAGAUGGAGAGUACUGGACAGGACAUCUGCCCUGUAUGUACAGGGAGCUCAUGAUGGACUGAAGGACCACUGGUCCAUCUGUCCCAUGGAGCAGAGGUGUGUGUUCCCACCCUCCAGCACAUCCCACUGCCCAGUCCAGCUGUGCAAUGUGGACCGACCCAGCUUUUACCUUUCUCUGGCAUUUUCUUGUCCCUCCCUCCCUGCCUCCCUCCCUUCUUUUGUUCCUUCUCUUUCCUUUCUUCCCUUUCCUUCACACUUCAGAAAACCUCUCACAGCACACUUGGGCUCCCUGCACUUACUGGGAAAGAUCUUCACGUGUAAUGAUUUUAUUAAAUCUUAUAAUUCUCCUUCCUCCCCCUUCGCCUCACCUCUCACCCUGAGGACAAACUCCCUGAGGUGAGCAUGGUUUCCCUGGGCAAUGCCAUCCUGGCUUGUCCAUCUGUCUGAAGCAAUUACUGUGGCUUCCCUGGGGUUAUUUUUCAGCCCAAGUGUUGACAUUUUUCCCCGGUUGGGCGUCAAGCGUGUACCUGCGGGGGCGGUUUCUGAGCGGCAGAAGCCUAACGAGAGGAGAGCCCUGGGUUAAUGAGGUGUUGCAAGACAGCACAGCUAAAUCUGGCAUUACACGUUCCAACUUUCCAGUUUAAUUAGAAACCUGGAUCUCCCGCUCAUGCAUUCAUUCACUUCUUGACUUGAGUGACAGCCCGGCCUUUCACAGGGAAAGCAACCACGGCGUUUAAGAAGGGUGUUGAUGUUGUGGGCCUUCCACAUCGCUCUGUCUUGCCCAGCUUUGAGUUUGCCAUGGGAAUAUCAUGCUGGGCCCAUGAGAGCAGCUGAGCCAGGGCCAUCGGUAGUGUCUGGGUCCCUCUCUUGGCCUUUCUCCUGCUGCAGCUUGUUGGCUGAAAUCCAGGAUUUUUGCAGAUAUUCUGUCCUUACUGGGCACUGUCAGGUACUUCUCAACUCUUAUCCACUGCAAUGAAGCGAGUACAAGUUCAGAGCAGCACGGAUGGCAGAGGUGGAGGGGUCCAUCCUGUUGAGGGAUCCAUGUCCCUGUAGGUGUAGGAUGAGGGAACGCAUGAGGACGAUGAAGACACCUCCAUGGGGUAGUGCUUGCCAGCUGAAAGGUUGCAGGGAGCUGUGUCUGCUCUGGUGUGAGUUAUAUUAAGGGGCUUAGAUGUGAAAAUAAGGCAACAUUGCAAAUCACAGAUGUUUGCCUGUUCAGGCUUACCUGGGACACAGGGAUACUGAAAAACCCCAAAGUUAUCCCACUGAUGUGCUUAAUUUUUUUGAGGGGGGAAGACAACAGUGCAGAGUAGAUUUUUUGUAAGCAUUAUUGUUUUCUUUUAAUUGAAAUGUUUUAGUUGGUAUGUAGAAAUAUAUAUAUUAAAAAUGUGCCUUUUUGGCUCUUGGGAAUUCUAAGUAAGAACUGAAAACUGAUGUCUGUGGUCCUUCCAGCAUUCGGUGUGCACAGAGUAAAUACUUGCAAGACCACCCAUCUGCCCUCCCUGUGGGUAGCUCUACGGGAAUGUUGCUGUGUAAAGGACAAGAGGAGCAGCUGGUACCUGCAGGAUUAGCAAAAUUCACCUUUCUGCUCCAUUUCCACAUGGAUCCCACAGGAACAGGCACUCCUCACCCAGUAACUGCUGAAAGAGAGCCCGGGGGAAUGACAGUGAGCAGGGGCGAUGCCGUGGGGAUGGGGAUGUGUGUUCCUAAUGCGGUAAUCCCAGCUCGGGUACUCCCUGAUAGGAUGCUGUCCAGACCCACCUCUGAGAUCUCCAUGCCCCAGUAAAGCUCAUCAUAAAGCAUGGAGGUCUGAUUUCCUUCCAUGAAGUAAUGGGAUGAAACAGGAAAAAUAAGGCUGUUUGUGGUAACAAGCUUCGUCCCAAGGUGUCUGCAAUGUCCUGACCAGCCUGGCAGGAAGCUGACGGAAGAUAAAUACAUUAAAAAUAUGCUCAGAGCUUGUAGCAGCCUCGGAAUGAACUACUGAAAGCCCUGGCUCUGCGUGCUGCCCAUCGUCCCCCUCCUGCCGCUGGAAGCAUCCCACCAGCGCCUGGAGGAGGUGGACAGGCAAGGACAUGGGUGAGGGGGAGAACUCUGGGAGUCCAUGCUGUGUUCUGCCCACCCCUGCCCUGGGGGCUCUGCUGGGGACAUCCUUGGGCAUAUCCUGGUGUCAAACGCUCAGCACUGUCAGGAUUGACUAUUUUAAUCCCAUUUAUGUCUUUCAGCCCCCUGGAUGAAAUCAAGGGAGGUCAGUGGGGCUCUGGGGAAGGGCAGCCCGGCUCUGUGGCUUGCGGGAGCUGCAGGAGUGACCCAUUGCGUGGGCAGGAGUGUGGCAGAACAUGGAUGUCUGGGAUGUGACACUGGCUCUC